rnacentral:tRNA from 1 species
AAGACCAUAGUCAAUACAUAUAUGACGUAUGAGUUGCAUUCAUAAAGAGUUUUUAAACUGGUUUUA